GCGUUGUUUGAAAGGAGAGAAAGUUAGCACUCCCCUUGAGAAGGAUGAAAGAGGUCCUAAUGACCGUUACAACACACAUAUGGUUACAGCAUUGCCACCUACUUUGUGGCACCUAACCAAGUUUUUUC